CGGAACGUGCCUAGUAGUGGGGGAUAACUACUCGAAAGAGUAGCUAAUACCGCAUGAGAUCUAAGGAUGAAAGCAGAGGACCUUCGGGCCUUGCGCUACUAGAGCGGCUGAUGGCAGAUUAGGUAGUUGGUGGGAUAAAAGCUUACCAAGCCGACGAUCUGUAGCUGGUCUGAGAGGACGACCAGCCACACUGGGACUGAGACACGGCCCAGACUCCUACGGGAGGCAGCAGUGGGGAAUUUUGGACAAUGGGCGAAAGCCUGAUCCAGCAAUGCCGCGUGUAGGAUGAAGGCCCUCGGGUUGUAAACUACUUUUGUACGGAACGAAAAGCUCUCUUCUAAUAAAGGAGAGUGAUGACGGUACCGUAAGAAUAAGCACCGGCUAACUACGUGCCAGCAGCCGCGGUAAUACGUAGGGUGCGAGCGUUAAUCGGAAUUACUGGGCGUAAAGCGUGCGCAGGCGGUUAUGUAAGACAGAGGUGAAAUCCCCGGGCUCAACCUGGGAACGGCCUUUGUGACUGCAUAGCUAGAGUACGGUAGAGGGGGAUGGAAUUCCGCGU
rnacentral:rRNA from 1 species